UACGUAGGUGGCAAGCGUUGUCCGGAAUUAUUGGGCGUAAAGCGCGCGCAGGCGGUUUCUUAAGUCUGAUGUGAAAGCCCCCGGCUCAACCGGGGAGGGUCAUUGGAAACUGGGAAACUUGAGUGCAGAAGAGGAAAGUGGAAUUCCAAGUGUAGCGGUGAAAUGCGUAGAGAUUUGGAGGAACACCAGUGGCGAAGGCGACUUUCUGGUCUGUAACUGACGCUGAGGCGCGAAAGCGUGGGGAG
rnacentral:rRNA from 1 species